UACGUAGGGCGCAAGCGUUGUCCGGAAUUAUUGGGCGUAAAGAGCUCGUAGGCGGUUUGUCGCGUCUGUCGUGAAAGCUUGGGGCUUAACCCCAAGUCUGCGGUGGAUACGGGCAGACUAGAGGCAGGUAGGGGAGAACGGAAUUCCUGGUGUAGCGGUGAAAUGCGCAGAUAUCAGGAGGAACACCAAUAGCGAAGGCAGCUCGCUGGGACGUUACUGACACUAAGGCGCGAAAGCGUGGGGAGCGAACAGG
rnacentral:rRNA from 1 species